rnacentral:rRNA from 1 species
UACGGAGGGUGCAAACGUUGCUCGGAAUCAUUGGGCGUAAAGCGCACGUAGGCGGCGCGUUAAGUCGGAUGUGAAAGCCCCGGGCUCAACCCGGGAAGUGCAUACGAAACUGGCGCGCUUGAAUAUGGAAGAGGGUCGCGGAAUUCCCGGUGUAGAGGUGAAAUUCGUAGAUAUUCGGAGGAACACCAGUGGCGAAGGCGACUGCCUGGACGAACAUUGACGCUGAGGUGCGAAAGCGUGGGGAGCAAACAGG